AUGCCCAGAGCAGCUGAUGGAUUUUACUGUAUCUCUUCUUUCAUCAGGGCUGGAAUGAUAGGCUGGAUUGUGCAGGGACUGGGAAAAGUGGUUCCACAGCCAGAUGAGAAAUACAAGGGUCACACAGAGCCAGAGGAGGUCACUGAGCUUGCAGUUCCAGUGGUUAAAGUGGAUCCUCCAGUGCAAGAGGUCAAAGGCGUUCGUGAUGCUGAGCCGCUGCCUCAUAUUCCUGUGGUGGAGGUUGUGUCUGAUGAGGACCCAGAUGCUUCUAAUGUGCCCUUCUCUCCCAGAGUAAUAGAAUGGAUUAAGCAUGGUUUUGAGAAGGUAGUUCCACAUUCUCCUGUCCAUCUUCAUCCUCCCGCUGCUACAGAGGCACCCGCCCAGAAGGCUGCUUCUGCUCCUGUGACUCCCUGCAAACAAGAGCCAGCACCUGCAGCUCCUGAGCAACCUAAAGUAGCUGAGGAUUCCAAAGGCACAAAUAUGGUUGGCUGGAUUGUACAGGGGUUCGGACGCAUCAUACCACAACCAGUACUGAAACCAAAAGAGGACAGCUCUGAUGUCGUUCAAAACGGGGAGAAGGCCAUUAAAGCCCCUUAAACAUAAGGAGAAGACGACUGGGAGAGUCAUUACCCCUCCACACAGAGACAGCAAGAGAUGUUCAGAAAGAUACACAUAUAAACAGAAAUUCUCUAGUUCCAUACAGCUACUGUACAUCAGCUUUGAACAUUUGUAGCAGUUCAAAGUGCUUUUCCACGUAAUCUUCCUUGCUGAUUUCUGUUAGCUAUAUUACAGAUUAGCAUGCUGGCUUGUUAAUUGUGAUGAUUGUUUAGUGCUUUGAUGAUUAGGCUACCUCACAGAGACAUGCAGUAAACACACAGUGGCCCAGUCAGAGUUUACAAUGUCAUUUACUGCUUAUUUACUGUCUACAUUUGCACUGUCACCAUCAUUAAACAUUAAACAUUUCCGCCUUCGAUUGGUCAGAUAGUCUAGCCCCAAACUUGUGUGCUGGAUUUCAUAAGCACCACAGAGCCACAGUGUUCACUCUUUUUGAAGAAAUCAACUUACUAAAGUUGUCUAUGAAUGUUAAACCGGGACAGGAGAAAGUAUUUCAACAUAUAAAAAUGUUUCAACUUUAACACUGCUUUUAAUGAUUUCCUUAUUUUCCAGUACAAAUAUAUAAACCUUCUUCAAUCAAGACACAAGCAAAAUAACAUAAUAUAUUAAGUCUUGUUGUCUAAAAAAUAAUUUCUGAUUAAUUUGAGGGAAAAAAAAUCUGCCGAAGGGAUAAGAAAAAUAAAUGUAAUUCAAAAGGAAAACAAGUUUAUUGACAUAUUUUUUCUUGUUUUAAGCAUAAACUUGCUUCAUUUUGAUAAAUUUUUCUGAAACAAGACUUGAUAACUUAUGUCAUUUUGCUUCUUAAAUAUAUGUAUGUUGAGUUAAGAAAGUUUUUUGCAGGGUCAAAAAGCACAGUUAUAUGCAAUAUUGUUGCCAUAAAACAAAAAAGAAAAAGAAAUACCAUAAAUCCCCAUGCCACUAAAUGCGUUUGCCAAUAUCUAUUGCCUGCUAUAAAAAGUUAGUCUAAAUGCUUUGAAAAACAAAAACCAUGAGCUGAUUUGCCAUGCUGAGGAUGUUAGCAAAGCCACUGUGCGUGAUUCAUCAAUAUCAGGCUUCACUACGGCAAGGUGGAACAUUCUUAUGCUAUAUGUAUUGAUGUUAUUUAUGUUUAUGUUUUAUUGUAAAAGGCUAUUGCUUACACAACACAGGCAGCUAUCUUACUUUGUCCGCUGUAUGAAAUCAAUAAUAAAUAAAUGAUUUCAAUAAGCAGAUUGUUUGUGUGGUCAGAGGAGAAAUAUGUAAAUUGCUUGCAAAAUUGUAUGUGGAAGAAGCACUACUGUAUGACUGCAGCUAAAAUAAUU
ensembl:lncRNA